UUAUCUUAAAUUUGUAUGCAGUUGGAACAGCGCCCCUAGCGGCAAACGUUCCAACUCCAUACAAAUAUGAGUUA
rnacentral:pre_miRNA from 1 species